rnacentral:rRNA from 1 species
CCUACGGGAGGCAGCAGUAGGGAAUUUUCGUCAAUGGGCGCAAGCCUGAACGAGCGAUGCCGCGUGAGUGAAGAAGGCCUUCGGGUCGUAAAGCUCUGUUGCGGGGGAAAAAACGCAGCAUCAGGAAAUGGGUGCUGACUGAUGGUGCCCCGCCAGACAGUCACGGCUAACUACGUGCCAGCAGCCGCGGUAAUACGUAGGUGGCGAGCGUUAUCCGGAAUGGUUGGGCGUAAAGGGUGCGCAGGCGGUCCUGCAAGUCUGGAGUGAAACGCAUGAGCUCAACCCAUGCAUCGCUUUGGAAACUGGAGGACUGGAGAGCAGGGGAGGGCGGUGGAACUCCAUGUGUAGCGGUAAAAUGCGUAGAUAUGUGGAAGAACACCAGUGGCGAAGGCGGCCGCCUGGCCUGUUGCUGACGCUGAGGCACGAAAGCGUGGGGAGCAAAUAGGAUUAGAUACCCGGGUAGUC